CCCUUAGAUGUUCUGAACCGCACGCGUGUUACACUGAUGCAUUCAACGAGCUUUACCUUGGCCGAGAGGCCUGGGAAAUCUUUUUAGCAUGCAUCGCGAUAGGGAUUGAUUAUUGCAAUUAUUAAUCAUGAACGAGGAAUUCCUAGUAAACGCAUUUCAUCAAAAUGCAUUGAUUACGUCCCUGCCCUUUGUACACACCGCCCGUCGCACCUACCGAUUGAGUGGUCCGGUGAAGUCUCGAGAUUGUGGCAAUCUCCUUUAUUGGAGUUUGACUGCGAGAACUUGCCUAAACCUUAUCACUUAGAGGAAGGUGAAGUCGUAACA
rnacentral:rRNA from 1 species